rnacentral:tRNA from 1 species
GUCCCCAUCGAUUAACUGGAUAAAUCAUGGGCCUCCUAAGCCUAAGCUCCAGGUUCGAGUCCUGGUGGGGACG